CGUUCCCGGACCUUGCACACACCGCACGUCAAGCCAUGGAAGCCGGGUGUACCUAAAGUCAGUAACCGCAAGGAGCUGCCUAGGGUAAAACUAGUGACUGGGGCU
rnacentral:rRNA from 1 species